rnacentral:lncRNA from 1 species
AUGUGGGGGAGACAGAUUCGGGGGAGAACCAUGGAUCAAGCAGGAACAGGACCGAGAGCUGGGAGACUCAGCCAUCGAUGUUGGCACGCGGAGACCCGGUGCCAGGAGUGCUGUGCCGUGGUGACUCGGAGCGAGCCCAGAGCCACAGCACGCCGUCACACAGAGGGCUCUCUGAAGACCCAGCCGUGCAGCGCUGCCCAUCACAGGCUGACCUCCAGUCCCCAAAGGCCUGCAUCCACGCCACAGGCAAACUCAGUCUCUGCUGUGUUAGCAGCACAGGAGGCGAACUCCGCAACCUGGGAUCCCGCCUUCGCGGGGCAGCGCUGGGGACGCAAACAAGUGAGGAGGACAAAGACAGCCUCCCGGGGUCUCUAUCAGCGCGCAGGUCACUUCUCACUGCCCCGCUGCAUUUUCUCCAAAAGCCAUCAUCAGGUGAGAGGUGGCAUCACUGCCUUCCUUGUCUCCCCUCCCUACCCCCGACCCUUCCGGAGCGAGACACCCGCGGAGCAGGGACCAAGUCUGUCCGGCUCCGUCCACUGCCACAGAACCAGGGCGUGUGGCCGAGUCUGGCUCGCAGGAGGAGCUGCGUUUCCCCUCCCUGCCGCCGGCAGCGUUGUGUUCACCGUGUUCUACGGCUCCCACAGACGGGAGGCAGGAGCUGCUCUCUGGGCAGCCGCCUGUUACUGCCUGGGCUGGAAGCAAACCAAGCGCAGUGGACACCAAACACCCCAGCAUCCUGCCCCCUUGGCGAGGACCGGGGGUGACACCGGCACAAAGCCAGGAGAAGCGCUGGGUGCAGGCAGAGCCGCUGGUCGCCCGCUGCGGGGUUACAGGCAGCCCGGGGUGGAACGCACACUCCGACCUCCCACGCCGGCUUCCAUCCUACGCCGACACCUUCCACCCACUUCCACACUCGCCGCACCUGCCCCACCUCAUGUUUACCAAAGGCAGGACGACAGCGCUCACGCUCAGCUCGCCCUCCCCUGCGGAGGAUGCGAAAUCACAGUGAAAACACCUGGAAAAGCAUGCCUGUGGGACAGGGCUGUGGAGGACUGGAGAGCAGAGCCGGAACGCAAAGUCCUCUGGGCCAGCACCACCCAGAAGGUGCCCCAUGACCCCAGAGCCCAGCGCAGAGGCACAGGGGUGACCCAGCCGCUGAGGCCGGCCUCAGCCUGCAGAGCGGGCGUGCUCAGCAGGUGGGGGGUGCACACAGGAGCCAGGGACACCUGCUGCUUCGGGUUCCAGGAAUGA